rnacentral:tRNA from 1 species
GGGCCUGUAGCUCAGUUGGCUAGAGCGCUUCCAUGGCAUGGAAGAGGUCAGGGGUUCGAGCCCCCUCAGGUCCA